rnacentral:rRNA from 1 species
UACGGGGGGAGCAAGCGUUGUUCGGAUUUACUGGGCGUAAAGGGCGCGUAGGCGGCCACCGCAAGUCACUUGUGAAAUCUCCGGGCUUAACCCGGAAAGGUCAACUGAUACUGCGGGGCUAGAGUGCAGAAGGGGCAACUGGAAUUCUCGGUGUAGCGGUGAAAUGCGUAGAUAUCGAGAGGAACACCUGCGGCGAAGGCGGGUUGCUGGGCUGACACUGACGCUGAGGCGCGAAAGCCAGGGGAGCGAACGGG